rnacentral:rRNA from 1 species
CGACGUAGGUAAUCCUACCCCAAAGUCUGGAAUAACCGGCCGAAAGGCUGGCUAAUACUGGAUAGAGCGACGGAAUCCGUAAUUGGGUUUUUCGGGAAAGGGAGGGAGCAAUCCCCCUCGCUUUAGGAUGAGCCUGCGUCCCAUCAGCUAGUUGGUAAGGUAAUGGCUUACCAAGGCUUUGACGGGUAGCUGGUCUGAGAGGAUGAUCAGCCACACUGGAACUGAAACACGGUCCAG